rnacentral:lncRNA from 1 species
AUAUUUCAGAUGAUCCUGUUUUCUUAUUGUCUAGGUGAGUUAUAUUAUCUAUCUUGGAUUGAUUUUCUUUAUUUUUAAACUCAGAUUGAUUUAUUAUUUCUUCUGAAUAGGCUUUAUCUUUAGACUUAAAAGUUUUAGUAUCUUCAAAUAUUUUUAUUUGUUCAGAUAUAGUUUUUUCUUCAGGUGUUCCUCUUUUUUUAUUCUUAUUUAAGUAUUGUU